CAAGUCGAGCGAACAGAAGGGAGCUUGCUCCCGGAUGUUAGCGGCGGACGGGUGAGUAACACGUGGGUAACCUGCCUGUAAGACUGGGAUAACUCCGGGAAACCGGAGCUAAUACCGGAUAGUUCCUUGAACCGCAUGGUUCAAGGAUGAAAGACGGUUUCGGCUGUCACUUACAGAUGGACCCGCGGCGCAUUAGCUAGUUGGUGGGGUAAUGGCUCACCAAGGCGACGAUGCGUAGCCGACCUGAGAGGGUGAUCGGCCACACUGGGACUGAGACACGGCCCAGACUCCUACGGGAGGCAGCAGUAGGGAAUCUUCCGCAAUGGACGAAAGUCUGACGGAGCAACGCCGCGUGAGUGAUGAAGGUUUUCGGAUCGUAAAGCUCUGUUGUUAGGGAAGAACAAGUGCGAGAGUAACUGCUCGCACCUUGACGGUACCUAACCAGAAAGCCACGGCUAACUACGUGCCAGCAGCCGCGGUAAUACGUAGGUGGCAAGCGUUGUCCGGAAUUAUUGGGCGUAAAGGGCUCGCAGGCGGUUUCUUAAGUCUGAUGUGAAAGCCCCCGGCUCAACCGGGGAGGGUCAUUGGAAACUGGGAAACUUGAGUGCAGAAGAGGAGAGUGGAAUUCCACGUGUAGCGGUGAAAUGCGUAGAGAUGUGGAGGAACACCAGUGGCGAAGGCGACUCUCUGGUCUGUAACUGACGCUGAGGAGCGAAAGCGUGGGGAGCGAACAGGAUUAGAUACCCUGGUAGUCCACGCCGUAAACGAUGAGUGCUAAGUGUUUAGGGGGUUUCCGCCCCUUAGUGCUGCAGCUAACGCAUUAAGCACUCCGCCUGGGGGAGUACGGUCGCAAGACUGAAACUCAAAGGAAUUGACGGGGGCCCGCACAAGCGGUGGAGCAUGUGGUUUAAUUCGAAGCAACGCGAAGAACCUUACCAGGUCUUGACAUCCUCUGACAACCCUAGGAGAUAGGGCUUUCCCUUCGUGGACAGAGUGAAAAGGGGGGGCAUGGGUUGUCGUCAGCUCCUG
rnacentral:rRNA from 1 species